rnacentral:rRNA from 1 species
UACGUAGGGUGCAAGCGUUGUCCGGAAUUAUUGGGCGUAAAGAGCUCGUAGGCGGUCUGUCGCGUCUGCUGUGAAAACUCGGGGCUUAACCCCGGGCCUGCAGUGGGUACGGGCAGACUAGAGUGCGGUAGGGGAGACUGGAAUUCCUGGUGUAGCGGUGAAAUGCGCAGAUAUCAGGAGGAACACCGGUGGCGAAGGCGGGUCUCUGGGCCGUAACUGACGCUGAGGCGCGAAAGCCAGGGGAGCGAACGGG